rnacentral:rRNA from 1 species
UUGGAGGGCAAGUCUGGUGCCAGCAGCCGCGGUAAUUCCAGCUCCAAUAGCGUAUAUUAAAGUUGUUGCAGUUAAAAAGCUCGUAGUUGAAUUUCGGGAUCAAUACGCCUGUCGUGCCUUCGGUACGUACGGGUGUAAUUGGUUUCUACCUUCUGAGGAUCCUUGAUGUCAUUAAUUUGGUGUCUUGGGGAAUCAGGACUGUUACCUUGAAAAAAUUAGAGUGUUUAAAGCAGGCAUACGCUUGAAUACAUUAGCAUGGAAUAAUGAAAUAGGACGUUCGAUUCUAUUUUGUUGGUUUCUAGGAUUGACGUAAUGAUUAAUAGGGAUAGUUGGGGGCAUUAGUAUUCAAUUGUCAGAGGUGAAAUUCUUGGAUUUAUUGAAGACUAACUACUGCGAAAGCAUUUGCCAAGGAUGUUUUCAUUAAUCAAGAACGAAAGUUAGGGGAUCGAAGACGAUCAGAUACCGUCGUAGUCUUAACCAUAAACUAUGCCGACUAGGGAUCGGAUGAUGUUGAUUUUUUAAUGACUCAUUCGGCGCCUUACGGGAAACAA